GACGGAGGAUGCAAGUGUUAUCCGGAAUCACUGGGCGUAAAGCGUCUGUAGGUGGUCAAAUAAGUCAACUGUUAAAUCUUGAGGCUCAACCUCAAAAUCGCAGUCGAAAACUAUUAGACUAGAGUAUAGUAGGGGUAAAGGGAAUUUCCAGUGGAGCGGUGAAAUGCGUAGAGAUUGGAAAGAACACCGAUGGCGAAGGCACUUUACUGGGCUAUUACUAACACUCAGAGACGAAAGCUAGGGUAGCAAAUGGG
rnacentral:rRNA from 1 species